UUGAACGCUGGCGGCAGGCCUAACACAUGCAAGUCGAACGGUAACAGGAAACAGCUUGCUGUUUCGCUGACGAGUGGCGGACGGGUGAGUAAUGUCUGGGAAACUGCCUGAUGGAGGGGGAUAACUACUGGAAACGGUAGCUAAUACCGCAUAACGUCGCAAGACCAAAGAGGGGGAUCUUCGGGCCUCUUGCCAUCGGAUGUGCCCAGAUGGGAUUAGCUAGUUGGUGAGGUAAAGGCUCACCAAGGCGACGAUCGGUAGCUGGUCUGAGAGGACGACCAGCCACACUGGGACUGAGACACGGCCCAGACUCCUACGGGAGGCAGCAGUGGGGAAUUUUGGACAAUGGGGGCAACCCUGAUCCAGCCAUGCCGCGUGCAGGAUGAAGGCCUUCGGGUUGUAAACUGCUUUUGUCAGGGACGAAAAGGACCGUGUUAAUACCAUGGUCUGCUGACGGUACCUGAAGAAUAAGCACCGGCUAACUACGUG
rnacentral:rRNA from 1 species